GGCUUACUUUCAAAGGACUGGUCA
rnacentral:siRNA from 1 species